rnacentral:rRNA from 1 species
GACGAACGCUGGCGGCGUGCUUAACACAUGCAAGUCGAACGAAGCUUGAUUACGGAUUCUUCGGUUGAAGUAGGAUAUGACUGAGUGGCGGGCGGGUGAGUAACGCCUGAGUAUCCUGCCCUUCAGAGGGGGAUAGCGUUUGGAUACUACCGGUUAUACCGCAUAAUUUAUUUUGACCGCAUGAUCGAAAUACCACAGAUUUAUCGCUGAAGGAUGGACUCGCUUCUGAUUAGGUAGAUGGUGGGGUAACGGCCGACCAAGCCGAUGAUCAGUAGCCGGACGGCGAGGUGGCUCGGCCACAUUGGGACUGAGACACGGCCCAGAAUCCUACGAGAGGGAGCAGAGGGGAAUAUUGCACAAAGGGCGCAAGCCUGAUGCAGCAACGCGGCGUGAAGGACGACGGUUGUCGGAUAGUAAAAUUCUGUUCUUAGUGAAGAAUAAUGACGGUAGCUAAGGAGCAAGCCACGGCUAACUACGUG